UCGAGAAUCUUCGGCAAUGAGCGCAAGCUUGACCGAGCGACGCCGCGUGCGGGAUGAAGGCCCUCGGGUUGUAAACCGCGAAAGUCGGGCGGAAGGUCCUGUGAAGAGCAGGAUUUGACCAAUCGACAGUAAGGACGGGCUAAGUUCGUGCCAGCAGCCGCGGUAAGACGAACCGUCCAAACGUUAUUCGGAAUUACUGGGCUUAAAGGGUUCGUAGGCGGCUUUGUAAGUGAGAUGUGAAAUCCCACGGCUCAACCGUGGAAGUGCAUUUCAUACUGCAAGGCUUGAGGGAGACAGAGGUAAGCGGAACUGAUGGUGGAGCGGUGAAAUGCGUUGAUAUCAUCAGGAACACCGGUGGCGAAAGCGGCUUACUGGGUCUCUUCUGACGCUGAGGAACGAAAGCCAGGGGAGCGAACGG
rnacentral:rRNA from 1 species